UCAGCUCCUGAGUAGCUGGGACUAUAAGAGUGCCCCACCAGGCCCAGCUGAUUUUUGUUUUUUCAGUAGAGAGGGGGUUUCACCAUGUUGGCCAGGCUGGUCUAGAACUCCUGACCUCAGGUGAUCCAUCUGCCUUGGCCUCCCAAAGUGCUGGGAUUACAGGCAUGAGCCACUGUCCCCAACCUA